UGCCCCCCUCGAAAACAUAGUUUACUUUAUCGCUAUAAGCUCAGAAAUCGUGAAGGUUCUUCUAAAACCAAAAUCCUAAAGUGUUUGUCAGUAUUUAUAGUUAGUUUGCAUAAUUUAUUUGUAUCGAAAUUUGAAGGAAAGCGUAAUAAUAAUAAUGUGCUAUAGUGCAGUCACGCCAGACACAUCACACUGCAUGGUCACAGAAUAGGAAGGUAUAGCAGAAGCGUAACUCGAGCAAGUAUUUGUCCGCGUUUUUACAAGCGAUUCGUCAUCAAUCACGCCAUCCUGGCUAGUACAACCGGCACUUUGUACCUACCAAAACCUGAUAAAAACUUCCGGUUGUACUAGCCAGGAUGACGUGGAUUGGCGUGAGCGAGUUAAAAUUUUCGUGGACGUAAAAAACAAUAAGGGAAACGACUAGAGUUACGCUUCUGCUAUACCUUCUUAUUCUGUGGCAUGGGUAUCUGUAGAGGACAACGUUAAUGCAUGAUGGCUUAGUUGCUAAGAACACGAAACGAUUUUUAGAGAUAGGAAUUCCUAAGAUAUUACAAGUUAUUUAGCUCUAUAAAUUCAGUCACAUAGUAUAAAAUUAGUCAGAAUAACAACCCCACUUUAACAAACGAUGACAUCAUGCGUUGGCGAGUAUGUUAAUAUGCACGCCUCUAAUAGAUAACAGGGAGCAAUUAGACUUAAAAAGUAGACUUUUAAGUGGAAACGUCUGUUCGAAAAACAAAAUCAAAUGAGUGGUUACUUCGUAAAAAAACCUUUUCCUAUGCAUUUUACUUACAUAUACACAGUAUAUAUAAUCGCUCAUAUGGUUGGGAUGCAUUACAGAAGCAUUCCGUAAAAACGAAAGUAGACUGUAUGCUUCAUCGCUCACAAAAACAUUCCGCACACACAAAAGCACAAAGUUUUGCAAUUGAAUACUUUCCGUUUCCAUAGCUUAAUGAUACAGCCAUUAUUUAUUAACGUUGUCUUCUACAAAGCUGGUCAAGCGAAAAGUACGCUAAACUUUAGCUCUUGGCCUAAUUCUCGUCAGUAUUGCAAUUCAAUGGAGAAUUUUGACACAAAAAAUUACGCAAACUGACUAUAAAUGUUGAGAAAAAUUGCUAGAAAUUUGUUUUUAGUAGAAGCCUUACGAUUCCCGAGCCUAAAGAUAAAACAAACUAUAAUUUUUUAAGGGGGGCCAAAUUUCCGAAGAGGGGGCCAUAUUUCCUAGGGGGCCAUAUUUCCUAGGUAGGAAAUAUGGUCGGGGGGGGGGGGCAAAUUUCCUAGAACAUUUGGCCCGGGGGGCCAAAACCAGGAUUGUGCUCUUUGUACAGAAUUAAGAAUAUGCACUGUACUAAGUGCUCAAAUAGUUGAUAUUUUAGUUGUGAUAGUUAUUGUUGUGCACUUGCUUUUUAAAAAGAAAUAUUUCAUGUUCAUAAAUAAAUUCCAAUUCUUCUUCUAAAAUAUUCAGAGAUUUAUAAAAACUUACAAAGGCAUAAAUUCAUCUACUUCGUAACAAUGCUCGAAACAUACAUAAAUGAGUUCAUACAUUUGUACUGUUCUUCAUUUUUGAAAAUAACCCAAAUGGUUGCAACUCUCACCUACCAUCUUGGCUUAAUAGUCACUUAGGAUAUCCAAAUAGCAAAAGAAUGCCCCAAGAAAGAAUUAAACUCUAUUAUACCGUUCCGGAACGUACUCAGCCUUGGCUAUAACAGCAUCGUUUUCGUGAUCGAGAUAAUGGAUUUACAGCCCUAAAAAUCUUGUAGCAAGUCUGCCAACAAGCCGUCAACAAGUUGUUAACAACUUGUAACUUGAUAUUAUCAGAAUUGUUGCAAGGUUGUUCCAACACGACCGAUACAGUCAGAAUACAUUAUAGCAAUAUUGUUACAACCUCCUUAUAACAACCUUGUAACAAGUUGUUAAAAAAACGCUAUGGAAAUUCGACAGGCUGUCGUGCAUCAUAAACGAGGCUAAACAAUUCAAUUUUUACAUAGGACGAAAGAACAGUCAUUUGGCUUUUCAAUGAUACUCUUUUUAAUUCGUAACGAUGAGAAAUGGCGACAUACUCGUCAAAUAAAAAUUGCCGGUCGAAAUCACAUUCUUCCACCGUUGGGAACUGCAUGGAAAACGAAACAUAGACAAUUCCCAAGAGGGAAUUAAAAUUGAAUGUUAAAUUAUCUAAAAUGUGAGAGAAUAAGAACGUCCAUUGCAUUAUUGCAUUAAACAUGGUUCAAACCUUUCAGCAGGCUCGCGUUGCUUUUGGAUUGAUUAACUUUGCAUAAUUAAUGUAUUUUCAAUUCCCAACGGUGGAAGAAUGUGAUUUCGACCAAUAAUUUUUAUUUGACGAGUAUGCGGCCAUUUUUCAUCGUUGCGGCUUAAGAAAGGUAUCAUUGAAAAGCUAAAUAACAGCUCUUUCGUCCUAUGUAAAAAUUGAAUUGUUUAGCAAAGUUUGUGAUGCACAACAGCCUGUUGAAUUUCCAUAGCGUUUUUUUUUUUUUUUUUUUUUUUUUUUUUUUUUUUUUUUUUUUUUU
rnacentral:lncRNA from 1 species